UAAGGUCUCUGGAUAAAAAGCAUGAGCGGG
rnacentral:piRNA from 1 species